rnacentral:lncRNA from 10 species
CAAAAAACAAACAAACAAAAAAAACCAGUUUCCUUUCAGGAAAAGUAGAUGCUCAUUUUAUUUGUUAAAGGGAGAGAAAAGCACAAGUCUGCCCUAGAAGUCAUAUCAAUAGGCACAAAAUUUGAUUGACAAUGAGGUUAGUCCUCUUAAUCAGGCUCCAUUCAUUGGUCUAAAUUCACUUCAGUUCGGACUCUUGUUAAGAAGGCAUUGACUCACAAAGUCGAGGGUGGAAUAAGAUACUGUGCCGCCAUAUUGUAUCCCAGUACUUCCCUUGAGAGGGUAUGCUACUCUUGAACUUGUAAAACAAUCAUUCCCUUAGAAACCUAAAAUAUCAACAAUGGCAAAAAGGAGUGAAGCAAAACAGUCCCUUUGGUCCUUAAAUGUGGUUUAUAUUAUCCUAAUCGGACAUUUUCUAAACAGAUCUAUGUGAAAUAACUCUUAGGGUAUUUAUCUUAAUUUGCUCCUUGGAGAAAUAUUUAAUAAUCAUUUUUUAGGUACUUCUUAAGUUGAUUGCUAUUAAACUGCUGAAAAUAAACUCUCCUUUUUGAUUUUUCCUCUGGGAUCCAUCAGGAGAUUGACUUUCAGGCAGCUUAAUGAAAGACAAGGGUCCAUCAGCAUUGUUUAAGGAACUGUAGGAACUGUGCUAAUUGCCAGAGGCUCUGAGCACUGGCUGCCAGCCUUGUGUAGCCCACUGGGCACAGCCAUCCCACCCUUGGCUCCAACCCUGACUGCAAAGCAAGAAAGGGCUUUAGUGGGCUGGGUAAUUCUAACAACUGCCAGUGACAAGUCUGCUGAUGGACUCAUCUGGGCAACAUCACAUUACGAAUUAGCAUCUAGAAAUGGCUGGCAUAAUUCCAGCGGGCAGAGCUUCAUUGCUGGCCUUGCUCAUGAACAGGGUUAGGGUUUAUGCUGCCAAUGUAGAUAUUUUGCCUCCAAAACGUUCAACAGGGUUUGUAUUGAAGCUCCAAAGUACUCCUCCAGGAGGAGCAGUCUGAAGGUGUUCACUAAGCAUGGGAGUGGUGCAGGGAGUGCAUAGGGGGCAAAAGUGAUUUAAGGUUAACUCAUCCAGAAUUCAUUAGAUAGGUGUUCAUCCACUGGAAUCUGCCAGAGAGAAUCCUAGCCUCUGAAAAAGAAAUUUGUCCACAUCAUUUUCUCUACUUCACAGAAAUAGCUUAAAUAGAAUGCCGUAGAGCCAGGAGCCUCAACAGACCUAAAGUGAAUAUAGAAGGCAACACAAAGUAGUGGUUAUGAGCCCAGAUUCUAGAGCCUGACCGCCUGGAUUUCAGGCCCAGUGCUACUACUUACUACCUGUAAGUCCUUAAGUUGGAAUCUAGCCUUUCUGUGCCUCCAUUUUUCAUCUGUUAGCUGGGAAUAAUAAUAUUAUCUUCCUCAGUUAUGGGCUGAAGGUUUGUGUCCCCCUCGCCCACUCAUAUGUUGAAACCCUAACCCCCAGCCCCAGUGUGAUGGUAUUUGGAGGUAGGGCCUUUGGGAGGAAAUUAAGUUAAAUAAGGUUAUGCGAGUGGGGCCCUCAGGAUAGGAUUAAUGCCCUUAUAAAAAAGGAGGAGACGCAGGCUGUCUCUCUGUGCUCCACGCCAUGUGAGGAUACAACAAGAAGUCGGCAGUCUGCAAUCAGAAAGAAAGCCCUCAUCACAGCCCGACUAGCCUGGCACCCUGAUCUCAGAUUUCCAGCCUCCAGAACUGUGAGAAAAUAAAUUUCUGUUGUUUAUAAGCCACACAGUCUAUGGUGCUUUGUUAUGGCAGCCCAGACGGACUGACACCACCUCGUAAGGCUAUUUUGAGGUACAUGUAAAGCUCUUGGAGAAUGCAUAGCAAGCCCUCAGGACCCUUCCAUCAUUUUAUCAAUAGCUGUUAUUUGGAGCUGACUUCCUGAUACUUCAUUUGAACAAAGGCAUUCACCAUCCCCACUACUCCCUUGAUAUAACUUAUUUAUAUAAGUUCUUUUAUCUGAGAAAUUAAAAGUAGAUUUCAGACCCUUUGUUCAUUCUCACAAUAUCAUCCAGAAGUAGAUAAGCAAACAGGUAUAAGCCACUUUCCCACAGUAGAAAAAGAAGGUUUUUCUAAUUAAUCAUUGUCAAAGAUAGGAAAAUGAUGCUGCAUGUUCUUAGAUCAUCAUUAGCUGGUUGGUUCUCUGGUCUUUCACCAUCUGUCUGUCUUCGCCAGAACACCAGGAACUUCGUGACUUCCCCUGGGAACUGCUGAUGGUGAAUUUGCCACCCCUCCAGAAGGGAUGGUAAAGGGAAGGAGGAAUGAAAAGGUCCUCAAGUUGUCAUCACUUGAGUGAUGCAUAAGUAUAAUGGUUUUUGUUUUUCU